GGUCCGAAACCACAAUUAAUUCGUAGUGCAUUUCUUUUAGAACAUAAAUGAAAAUUAAAAAAAUCCCACCUGCGCUUUCUCAAUGAAAUUUUUACAGUGUGUUGUACUACUUUUGGGAAAAAUUAUAUCAAAAUUAUAGAAAACUUCAUCGGCUCUAACUAAAAAUAUGGACAAUUUUCUCUUUAGGGCGUCUUGAAAUCUUUUGACAGCUUCCGAAGUGCUAAUUUUGAACCUUUUUCAGCUGGACCAAAUCACUACUUUCCCUUAAAAUUCUGAAC
rnacentral:lncRNA from 1 species